rnacentral:rRNA from 1 species
AGAGUUUGAUCCUGGCUCAGGAUGAACGCUGACAGAAUGCUUAACACAUGCAAGUCUACUUGAAUUUGGGUUUUUAACUUAGGUUUGGGUGGCGGACGGGUGAGUAACGCGUAAAGAACUUGCCUCACAGCUAGGGACAACAUUUAGAAAUGAAUGCUAAUACCUAAUAUUAUGAUAAUAGGGCAUCCUAUAAUUAUGAAAGCUAUAUGCACUGUGAGAGAGCUUUGCGUCCCAUUAGCUAGUUGGAGAGGUAACGGCUCACCAAGGCGAUGAUGGGUAGCCGGCCUGAGAGGGUGAUCGGCCACAAGGGGACUGAGACACGGCCCUUACUCCUACGGGAGGCAGCAGUGGGGAAUAUUGGACAAUGGACCGAGAGUCUGAUCCAGCAAUUCUGUGUGCACGAUGAAGUUUUUCGGAAUGUAAAGUGCUUUCAGUUGGGAAGAAAGAAAUGACGGUACCAACAGAAGAAGUGACGGCUAAAUACGUGCCAGCAGCCGCGGUAAUACGUAUGUCACGAGCGUUAUCCGGAUUUAUUGGGCGUAAAGCGCGUCUAGGUGGUUAUAUAAGUCUGAUGUGAAAAUGCAGGGCUCAACUCUGUAUUGCGUUGGAAACUGUAUAACUAGAGUACUGGAGAGGUAAGCGGAACUACAAGUGUAGAGGUGAAAUUCGUAGAUAUUUGUAGGAAUGCCGAUGGGGAAGCCAGCUUACUGGACAGAUACUGACGCUGAAGCGCGAAAGCGUGGGUAGCAAACAGGAUUAGAUACCCUGGUAGUCCACGCUGUAAACGAUGAUUACUAGGUGUUGGGGGUCGAACCUCAGCGCCCAAGCAAACGCGAUAAGUAAUCCGCCUGGGGAGUACGUACGCAAGUAUGAAACUCAAAGGAAUUGACGGGGACCCGCACAAGCGGUGGAGCAUGU